rnacentral:misc_RNA from 1 species
AGAAACCCUAAUUCGGCAGUCAUGUCUGACUAUUCGCAGGAGCAGGAGAUGGAGAUCGAAGCACUGCAGGCCAUUCUCAUGGACGACAUCAAAGAGAUCGAUCCCUUGGACAGCGGGCUGCACACUAGCAAUCGCUGUUUCCAAAUCCUGCUGUCCCCUCAGGAUGAGGACAUGGACGAAUCAAGUUAUACCCCAGUUCAAUUGGCUCUGAUAUUUUCACACACUGAAAGAUAUCCAGAUGAAUCCCCACGAUUAAAU